GCGCUCAUGGUGUAGUGGUUUUGCAUGCCACCUUCCCAUCGCACACGGUGAAAGGUGGAGGUCAGGGGUUCGAACCCCCUUGGGCGCA